rnacentral:rRNA from 1 species
GACGAACGCUGGCGGCGUGCUUAACACAUGCAAGUCGAACGGAAAGGCCCUGCUUUUGCGGGGUGCUCGAGUGGCGAACGGGUGAGUAACACGUGAGUAACCUGCCCUUGACUUUGGGAUAACUUCAGGAAACUGGGGCUCAUACCGGAUAGGAGCUCCUGCUGCAUGGUGGGGGUUGGAAAGUUUCGGCGGUUGGGGAUGGACUCGCGGCUUAUCAGCUUGUUGGGGGGGUAGUGGCUUACCAAGGCUUUGACGGGUAGCCGGCCUGAGAGGGUGACCGGCCACAUUGGGACUGAGAUACGGCCCAGACUCCUACGGGAGGCAGCAGUGGGGAAUAUUGCACAAUGGGCGGAAGCCUGAUGCAGCAACGCCGCGUGCGUGAUGACGGCCUUCGGGUGGUAAACCGCUUUCGCCUGUGACGAAGCGUGAGUGACGGUAAUGGGUAAAGAAGCACCGGCUAACUACGUG